CACGGUGUGACGUGGCGCCUCGCUCGCUGUCUGUCCCGCGCUUAGCUUUCGCGCAUCACUCUGCAGGUUGGCUGGGUGCAGGAUCUCAACCUUUCAGAUGUUUGUUUUAGGCCACCUCUCAGAAAAGGCCAUGGUCCAGUUCAGAGUACCCAACCUGCCACUGCUGACCAUCAUCCUCACCAAUUCCCAUCGUCACCAGCUAUUGGACACCCUCCCAUGUCUCCAGUUCAGGCCCAACCUCAACCUCAAGGCUC